GUCAAUAAAAGAGAGACCCACAGAAAGCUGCCGAAGACUCGAGGGGACACGUGAUGGAAGACUGACGGAGGGACUGACAUAGAAACUCAGAGAGACGCUGAGAAGAGGCCAAGAAAGAAGUGAGCCGGACCUGAGGAGAGGUACGGAGGGAGAUGGACUGAGACCAGUAAAGGGGCGGACCGCAACAAGCCUUUCCUCCGGUCAAGUUAACUGCCUAGGAUAUUUUACCGUGGUGAUAGAAAGCUGGCUAAUACCACAGGGAAGAAGAUACUGUCACACUUCCACAGAUCAGCUCCAUGCAUGACUGGUGAAACCUUCCUAACCUGUGAAUAUACAGAGGAAGAGAUGGUCGUCAAUCCCAGCACUCAGGAGGCAGAGGCAGAGGACGUCAAGGUCAGCCUGGUCUAUGGAGUGAGUCCCAGGACAACCAGAGCUACACAGAGAAACCCUGUCUCAACAAAACCCCACUAGACAAAACGAAAGGCACUCUGUGUAAAAUCCUGGCUGAAAUGAGUCCAGGUAAGGGAACCCAGAGAGGCUGGGACGCAUAGCACAGUGAAUAGCAAGAACAUGGAAGCCAGAGACACUGGGUGUGGGUUCGAGCCCCUGCCCUAUGAAACGAGGAUCAUAAUUUCCAUCCAGUGUGAUUACAGACUGGUAUCCAGCACAUAGAUAAGCUCUGUAGUCGAGCACAGAGGAAGAGACAUGCAGAGUCCAUGCCACGCCGGGCCUGGGUAAAAAGACAGCUGGGAUCUUAAUCCCAUUAGCUGCAAUGACUAGUGAGAGGUGGGGAGAAAUGCUGCUAUUCUAUGGUGACUUGUAAAGCCUCCAUCAAAUGUGGCUGAGAAGGGAGGAGAUGUCCCUGUAGACAGAACUGAGGACUUGGGAAAUUAAAGUAACUUAUGAAUUUCACCUUUAUUGAUAAUAAAAAAUUAGGGGAAAGAUGCUGACAAAUACCAUUUAUUGCUCUAACUUCUUUUAGAAAACCACAUGGGGCUAGAGGGAUGAUUCAGUUGCUAAAGGGCCUGCAUGAAAGCAAGGACCUGAGUUUGCGUUCCCAAACCCACAGUGACACAUGUCUAUCUCCCCCUUCUUGGGCUGGGAACAGAAUCAAGCAGACCCCUGGAGCUGUUUGCCAGCUAGCCUAGCCAAGUCAAUGAGCUCUAACUGUCUCAAAACAUACAUACAUACAUACAUACAUACAUACAUACAUACAUACAUACAUACAUACGGAUAGGAAUCAAGGGAGACACCUGGUAUCAGAGCUAGACUGAGAGAGAGAGAUGCACACACACCAUAGAGAACUUAUAAGAGCGUAGGUAACAUUUUCAAUGAAGCAUUAAGAAGUGUGGUCAUGGCAGUCAAACUCCCUGAGGUAAGCUCCUUCCUUAUCCUCAGGAAUCUUCAUCGGGAACAUUGUGGAUGCCGGUGUUUGGCCAUGCCAGUGACCUGUUGUGCUAUCAAUAAAGCAUCUUACGUUGAACAAGCAAUUAGUAAAGGGCAGUUAAGAGCCCUGGCCACUCUUAUAGAAGGUCUGAGUUCACAAUGUCUCAUGGCUCAUGACUGCCUGUAACUCCAGCUCCAAAACAAAGAGCAGCUGUGAUUCAAUUCAUCUUUGGUCUCCACCGUUUGAAAAAACUGGGGGUUAGAUGAUGGAGGAAUACUGAUAGUAAAUCGGUAACCUGUUUUGAAAAUGUUUGACGUCUUAACUAAUGGUGAAGAUACACUUACGACAUUCCCAAGAGCUUCUGAAGUGCAUUCCGUGUGCCCCAAAGCAUGAGAGCUGGGAAACUAGAAGGGACAUCGUGCAUGAUGGCCAAAGCCUGCAGCCAAGCCAGAUGCUCACUCUCAGCACACGGCAGAAGGAGACAACGAGGUGAGCUUGUUUAUGUGACAGGACAGUGGGCAUCUGAAGCAGAGCUACACACGAAUGUCACAGUGUUGUAUGAAAGGUACCACACUCCAAACGUAAGACUAUGUGACCCCACUGGAAUAAAGUUCAAAAUCGGGCAGGUUAGCUGCACUGCUUAUGAAUGUAUCCUUAGACAGUAAAUGAGGUGUUUAAGAAAGGCCAAGAUUACCCUGGAGUCAGGUACCAGCUGGCUCUGAGGAGAGAACAGGUUGGCAAGGGGGAAAGGGAUGGAGGGUCUAGAGUCCUCUGUGGACUUGGAUGAUGGUGGUGUGUAUAUAAUACUUCACCAUGUGGACUUGGAUGAUGGUGGUGUGUCUUGGACUUGGAUGAUGGUGGUGUGUAUAUAAUACUUCACCAUGCAGACUUGGGUGAUGGUGGUGUGUCUGUGGACUUGGAUGAUGGUGGUGUGUAUAUAAUACUUCACCAUGCAGACUUGGGUGAUGGUGGUGUGUCUGUGGACUUGGAUGAUGGUGGUGUGUAUAUAAUACUUCACCAUGCGGACUUGGAUGAUGGUGGUGUGUAUAUAAUACUUCACCAAGCUCUACAUUCACAUGAUAUCUACUUCAUGUGCCCAUGCUAUGGUCAGAAUACAAUUGCUUACAACUAACCAUUCUUGCCUGGACCACCAAAGCCAGCCCUUUAAAGAAGAGAAUCAGAGGACCAUGUGCCUAGAGGACAAGUAGGGGAAAAGCCCUACAAAAGUAAAUCUAUUUUUGUGUCAGAACAGCUGAACCUUUACAGCCCUUCCCUCUCUCAAGAGAGCCUCCUGGAUCAAUCUCUGUUUUGUAUGAAAUUAUUUUUAAGAAAACAAAAACAACCAGUAGAACUCUAUGAUAAACACAGACAAGAAAAGUACCACACAGACCAGCUACAUAACACACACAAAGUGCCAGGACAGCAACUGUUCAAGAGCCACACAGUCAAGAUCAUUCCCUAAAACACUCCGUGAGACUGAAGAGAAACCCUCCCUGCCUCCCUCUUGACGCUGUACAAUGAACAGGGAGCUUCACCACAUGGAAGGAGUGUGUGUGUGCCCGGAGACAAAGUAAGGCUGAUGGGAGAAGCUGCAGGAAGUGCCUCGUGCCCAGAGAACAGAUACCAGUGAUGUCAUGGGGGAGCUUUAGAAGCCUGUGUCCUCAUUUCUCCCACUGAUCCCCCACACACCUUCUGAACUGGCCUCAAUUCAGGCCUUGUCAGCUACGGUAGGAACCAGAUAUAGAUCAAAUCCUUUAUAGAACAAAAGGAAAACUAGCAUGCAGGACUCCCUCUUCUAGAUAUUGUUGUUUAAUAAGGAAACCUGGGGCAUCCAGAUCAUCACGUGGCAUCAUGGGUGUGUGCAGUGUGCACACCCCAGAGUACUGGAGGACAGGAAGGAAGCAUCAAGAAGCAUUUGGGGGGCAAUCUCCUAAGAGGAGCCUUAUAAAAAGAAUCUGUGGAUGUUGAGGAAGAGUAAACAAGGUCACAGGCACAGCUUGGGCUACAGCAGAGAGUUAAAAAGGAAACUGGGAGGUUGUGCCCAGAGCAACUUGGUGUUGCUGGAGUUAUGUUUGCUUGACGAGAAGGCACAGAGCCAGGUCCUCAAAGAUCAGGAAGCCACUUAAAUGUGUUUGGGCUUUGCUGUGUGUGUAAAAGGAACCUCCUUUAGAAAGGUUUAAUCAGGGAGACGAUUUUCCAGGGUUCAAUUUAGCUUUCGGAAAGAAUUAAAGAGAUUUUCCUUUGUCUGCUGCACUGUCUGGCUGCAUGGCAACUCUCCUUUUCCUCUCCAUCCCCAUCCCCAGUCUCCACCCUCUUUAAGCACGCCAAGUCUAAAGCCCCCAUCAGCCUAGCAAAGUCCAUGUCUUACCCUGGCCUCCUACAAAAACUAGGUUCUAAUUAUUCUAGGAUACCAUGAGGACUGGUCCUGGGCAAGCCUCUAACCUAUUCUUCCCCAGGGCAAAGUGAGCACAGUUAAGCCAGGCAGGGGCUCAGCAAGCAAAACCCAUGCCCUGUAAGCCUGACAACUUAAGUUUGACUCCUGAAACCCCAAGUGGAAGGAGAGAACCAAUGUCCCAAAAGCUGUCUUCUGAUUUCCACAUGUAUGUAUGAACACACACUCACAUAAACAAUGAUAAACAGACAAACAAAAGCUCAUUCCCUAUGCCUUGAAGGCUGGUACAAAAGUGGACAAAAUAAGUCAAAAGUCAUAGCUUAGGGCUGAGAGGUGGAGCACUUGCCUGGCGUUUGCACGGCCCUGUGUUCUAGCCCCAGCACACUCACAGAAAAGCUCACCAUCUCCCCAGAGUUAUUCUCUAACCCUACAAACAUACAGUGCAUGCAAGUAUACACACGCUCUCUCAAUGCAUACAUAACAUACAUACAUACAUACAUACAUACAUACAUACAUGCAACACAGCACAGAUAUAGAGAUGGGAGGGGGGCUUAGUUUUCACCUUUCAACAAAGCUUCCUUUUGCAGCAGAUACCAUUACAGAAACCAGAAACUGGUACAAACGUAGAGAAUGACUGACCGUGAAAUGACCAACCCUUACUGAUGCUCUCAUGAUAUAACUCCUACCUAAGGCUUAAAGAAUUGCAGAAGAAGGGGAGGAAAGAUUGUAAGAGCCAGGGAUCCUGGGAAUUUGAGAUGAGACAGUGUGGCUCCCAUAUGUGAUUUUACUCAGAAGCUACAUAUCAAAAAUGUGUUAUCCCAAAUAGGGCCUCUCCAACACCACCACCAGUUGACAUGCCAGUGUGAAGAAGAGAUCACACAAUGGCCUAGACCUACAUGAAGAGCUAUAGGCAAGUGACAGCAGCUGAAAGAGGAAGAGACAAUGUCCUUCAGGAACAAGCACCUAUAGGCUACCCAGUCCAACUGGGUCGGCCCUAAACAAAUACACACAUGAGCGCCACUAAACAGACUCAGCAGCAGUACAUACAAACAGCUGUGUGUGUGCGUGUGUGUGUGUGUGUGUGUGCAUGUGUCUGUAUGCGUGUGUGUGUGCACGUGCAUGCAUGUGUGCGCAUGUGUGUGUGUGCGUGUGGGUGUGUGUGUAUGUGGGUAUGUGUGUAUGUGGGUGUGCGUGCAUGCAUGCAUGUGUGUGUAUGUGUAUGUGUGCGCGCGUGUGUGUGUGUGUGUGUGCGCGCGCGCACACGCAUGUGUGUAAAACAACAGUUACAGAUAAGAAGCCAUGAAUAUGGGAAUGUAUAGAGGGGACAUAGGUAGAGUUGGGGGGCGGGGUGCACUGCGAACUUCUCAAAAGUACCUUUUAAACACUUUAAAAAUUAAAUUUUUACCUCAUCACCUUAUUAAUUCAAAGUAUAAAAGGCAUAAUUUAUAUAGUAUCUACAUUUUAGUCAAGCUAUUUUCACAAGACUGCCUUCUUUUAUAUGUCUACUAUUCUCAUAAAGGCAACAUUAAGUAUUACCAUUGAAAAGAUGAUCCUGGGGCUGAUUAGAUGGUUCGAUGGGCAGAGAUGCUUGCCACACAAGCCGAACGUUGAUCUAAGUUCAUCCCCCACAGCCUACGACAGAGCAGAACUUCCUGCACAAGGGUGUGCUCUGACUACCACACUGCCAGGGCAGACACAACUACACACAUGGACACACAGCCACACAUAAUUAUGUAAAAGGUAUAUGUUGACAGACUUCGCUCUAAAUGAAUGUAAUGGUGUGAUAAUAUAUUGUAGACAGAAACCCUUACUCAUUGUCCUGCUGGAUGUGUUCAUCUCUGUAAUUCUGGGAAGCAAGUGGCCUUGUCUUAUUGUGGACACAAGCACCCACAAUUUUCCACAGUGUCAUUCUCCUCCUCCUCCUCUUCCUCUCCUCCUCUUCCUCCUCCUCCUUUUCCUCCUCCACCACCACCUCCCCCAACCUCUCCUCCUAAUCUAAUUUGCAGGGCAUAAUUUUAGUAUUAGUUGCCUUGGGGUGUUGUUUCCUUUAAUGUUGUGUGUCUGAUCUGACAAUCGGCCACAAGGUGGCACCAAACUCACACCUACAGGACAAUUAAGGCCCUUGUGCUGGGUAGUUUUGGUUUUGUGCUCUUAAUCAUAAAAGCAUAAAACAUCUUCUAUGGCUUCCUUCAUAGCUUAUUAUGAACAACAACACAGAUUUCCAGAUAAAACUCGUGUGUGUGUGUGUGUGUGUGUGUGGUGUUAAAACUUUUUGCCACCUGUAAGAAACUUCUAAAGUAGACAAACCUCUUCUCAAGACAGGCUUAUGUCACAUCUGUAUAAAUUUCAAUAGGCAGAGGGGUAGAAGGUUGGGGAUGCAUAUAAAUCCUAAGUAAAUGUCCCUUUCUCAGAACACAGUCCAAGAACGGAGUUAUGUGAAGAGAAUUGUAAGUGCUUGUGAGAAAACUCAAAGAAAAUAAGACAAGGACUUAUGGCCUCAGUUCUUCAAAGCAAGGGAUUGUUCUUGGAAUGUGCUAUUGUGCCUCUCCUAGGUGUAUCGGAUAGGAGUGAGCUGACUUCAGAUUAUUCAUUACAACUGGGUAUCGUUAUUUGUUUAUGUGCCUCUAUGAAAAAACAUGUUUUUUGCCACAUGCACCUUGUCUUGUGACUGUACACUUUAUUCAUGUGAUUCUUCAGAGUCUGAAAUGUUCAAAGCUCUGGAGAAAGCCCUCAUUGCACAAGACUAUGGUCCACAUCCUUUCUAGGCUCCAUUCUCCCAGGUCCCAUUGCCAAUGAGAUCAGUGAGCAUCCCCGUUCUUAUGGUAAAAAUUCUGACUAAUUUAGCACCCUAAAUGGUACCCAGAAAUUUCUUGUUCUUCCUUUGUUUACAAUUGCAUCUGAUAUAGCUUAGAUUACCUGGCUUAAAUCUCUUAAAACUGCAUGUUAUUUAAAAGUUGAAGCACAUUUGUAAUUAAUUCAUCAUGUAGUAGGUUAUGGUUAUUUUAAAGGGAUAAGAUCUAUUCUGGGAGAAUUCUACUUUCUAUUCCCGUCGAAUUCUUCAUCCUAUGAAGCCUGUUCCUCAGUGAUUUAGAGUCUGGUUUAGAGCCCUAAGAACUCAUAAUGAAAGCCCUCUGGAAACAGACACCACACAUCACUAGGAGUUAGAGGAGAUUUCUGCCAAUUAAAAAAGGAGCUCACUGUGCCCAGCCUCUGGGAGCCAAGCCUUCUAUUUUGGGGGGUGGGGAGGAUGAAGAGGUAUAAUGUCCUCAGAGGGUCUGGCUUCCUCUCAGCAUGGAAAGGGAGAGCUGCCUGCCAGUAUAAGAAGUUAUUUCUACCCAUUCCCAGGAGUCACUACAGAUAAGAGUGACCACCUAGGAAAGGCUUAUAGGCUUGACAACCUUUCAAUAAGGAAAGAAAAAAGCUAAAAUAAAAGAAUGGUGGGACUGGGAAUAUAGCUCAGUGGUGGGGUGUUUGUGAAGCACUGCACAAGGCCUGAAGUUUGAAGCAGAAGCAAAGAAAGAAACAAAGAAACUGAGUAACAAAGAAACCAAAUAACAAAGAAACCAAGUAACAAAGAAACUGAGUAACAAAGAAACUGAGUAACACAGAAAGAAGAAACCUAGAUACUAAGUCCCACUCUGAGAUCACCAAGCCACCUAGUCUCACUGUGCCCAAAAGGCAUUUUCAAUCCUGUUAGCAAUUUCUGAAUCACCUGUCUAUUCUCUAGAACAUUAUUUAAGCAAGGAAAUGCCUUCACUGUGACUUCUUGGCUUCUAAUUAUUUGUGACUUUCAAAACACAAGGUAGACUUCCUUGGUCAUUUACUCCUGUUUACUAAACCUGCAGGUGGUUUGAGACUUCUGGGGCAAGCCAUACAGAAAGUCCUGGAAAAUCUUUCCUAUGCAAUGCACACUAAGAAUGGGAAAGGCACAAAGGAAGACAAGUAUGUGGCCAUAUAGUACAGAUCUCAGAGCCUGCUCAUUGAUCGGUCUGGAGUCUGCAAAUGUGCAGGACAAUUCUUCCACCCUGCUGCUCCCCCCUGGAAGGAAACACAGAAGGAAGCUUCAUAAAAUCACAAGUCUCUUCUUCCAAGCAAUGGGAAAACAGGAGUGAUAUAAAAACCUUGUAGCUCAAA